GUGGAUGUAGCUCAGUCUGGUAAGAGCGCCGAGUUGUGGCCUCGGAGGUCGCCGGUUCAAAUCCGGUCAUUCACC
rnacentral:tRNA from 1 species